rnacentral:rRNA from 1 species
UACGUAGGGGGCGAGCGUUGUCCGGAAUGAUUGGGCGUAAAGGGCGUGUAGGCGGCUGUAUAAGUCUGGAGUGAAAGUCCCGUUUUCAAGAUGGGAAUUGCUUUGGAUACUGUACAGCUUGAGUGCAGGAGAGGUUAUCGGAAUUCCCGGUGUAGCGGUGAAAUGCGUAGAGAUCGGGAGGAACACCAGUGGCGAAGGCGGGUAACUGGACUGCAACUGACGCUGAGGCGCGAAAGUGUGGGGAGCAAAC